GGCGCCAUUCAGAGAUCUGGCUCGAGGGCGCGCGCGGGUGAGCGUCGGGCCGACGCUGGAGAGGAGCGGGUCCUCGGGCGGUGGAGAGAGGCAGGUCUGAAUCUCUGUGGUCAGGGGCUGAUAGAAAUUUCAGGGGAGCCAGAGCCUGAGAGGCAGACCUUCCUGGAGCUAGAACCUGGCAGAGGCAGCACAGCAGAGAAGCUGAGAAACCCAGCCUUUGAAGGAAAUGAAGAAGAGGAGGGACCCUGUCAGUGAAGUAGGAGCACAGACUGCAUGGAGACUGUCCAAGGGCAUGCGGGACCUUCUGACCUGCCCAGUCUGUGGAGGCUUCUUCAAUGAUCCUGUAACAGAGCAUUCUGGUGACACCUUCUGCCGGGAUUGUCUUCCUCAAAAAUCCCAGCCGCCAUACCUACGUACCAACUGGAAGAUGCAGAACAUGGUACAGCUGGCCAAGCAGCUGAUGCCAUGCCUUGAGGAGCCCCAGUCCAUCCGAGAGGGGUGGUGUGCCAAGCACCAGGAAAACUUGAGCUUUUUCUGUAGAGAAGACAAUGAGAAAAUCUGCCAGGUGUGCAGCUACUCCAUCCUUCACGAGGGCCAUACCCUGACCCAGCUGCAAGAUGUGGACACAAAAGAAGAGGUAAGUCAGCUUCCAGGGCAAAGUCAAGAUGCCUGAAUUGUGGGUUGCAGAAGGAAGAAGUCACUGGGGGACUGGGGACUCCCAGGGAAGCCCUCUGGAAAAUCUUCCCCCCCUGGGCCCUUUCCACAGGCUGUCCUCCAGGCCUCUAAGACAUUCCCUCUGCACUCCAGCUGCUUGGAAUCUCAGCCCCUUUCCAGACUGCUCUCCUCACAUCAUGGAAAUCCCUCCUCCAUCCUGUACUUAUUCCUCCAGGUCCAUGCUCUGAAACGAUCUCUGUCCCUGUUGGAUCUCCCCAGGUUCCUGGCAGGCAGAGGCGUGCAGGAACCUUUGGGUGCUCAGCACCCUAAGCCAGUGCUUGGCACUUAGAAAGGUAUUCAUCAGCGCUCUUUGAAUGGAGUUACUCUUAUCUCCCCACCCCCCCUGGUGCUUCUGAAGAAGAGGGCAAGAUGGCCUCCACAUCUCUGGACCACUGAAUUCUCUUCCCCUGGUCUUUCCAUGGGGCACAACACAGGGCCCAAAAGAACUCUGCCCUUACCUUCACCCACACCCCCUCUGGAAUCCUCCUGGAAACCAAGAGUUGGUUCAUCAUGGACACCUUUUUAAGGAAGGGAGCCUGCAGGAUGGAAGAAAUUUCAAGUUGAAGCCUGAGAGAAAUUAUCAUCUUACUAUUCUGAGGGUACCCCCAAGAUUGGUAUGUCUGUUUUCUGUGCGUUACCUUACCAGGCAGGUGCACUGGACACAGAACAGAGUAAGUCUGUUUGCUGAAAGGAGCUGCAGUGAGCCCAAUCUUCCUCACUCCCAGGUGCCUUUGCUGGUGUUCCCUAGCUGACCUGGUUGAGCUCUGCACCCCAAACUGGCCUAAACCCUCCUUGCAGUCAGCUGUUCCAACAAAACGUCCUGCUUCUGCGCCUCACUGGUUCCUGGGAAGACUGGCCAUUCUUUUUCCUGACUCCUCCCCAGUCCUCCCCUUUGUGCUUUUCAAGUAUAAAUCUCCCCAGCCU
ensembl:lncRNA